GAGCAGGUAUGCAAUCCAGUGAAAUAGGACGGAGGAGCCAUAAGCAAGUCACACAGCUUCUAUCCGCCAGUCCUUUCUGAAGAGUUAAAUGCAGCAGAAGGACUGUAUUGGUCUGAAACACAACGUCCCAACCUUUUGCCCUUGAAGAGAACGUCUCAAAAGUCCAAGGUCCCAGUGCAUGGAAUGGAGUCACCCGAGGUUGGUCAUCUGUCUACAGGAUGUGCCCUUGGAUAUCCCGAAGGAUCCAGGAGCCAAAAGGAAGGAACAAAGUCUUCUAUACAUCCUUGUAUUCCUCCCCCUGUGAUAUUUAUAGCUACUCAACGAGGGGCAUCCAUACUCAAGACGCAGGCUUAAAGAGAAUAAAGGCCACUUGAGAUAUACAGGAAGAGCCAAGAAUAUGCACACACCUUGACCUAUGAAGUCACAGUGAUUCACGCUGGUUACUCAAGCUGCUUGCUCACACAGCCCCUCCAGAGGAAGCCGGCCAUCACAGGCAUCCUGGAAUUAGGCUCUAGAAAGAGGACUUUUUGAGAGUCUGGAAUCUAUUUUUAUAGCAAUGAGCACAGUCACCUUUUUCACAUCAAAUGGUUCUAAAAGCCAUCAGAACGCCUAGCCAUCCACUGUUGUGCCCAGGAAGGGGCAUGGUGGCCUUGUGAGUCUGUGAAGUGCCAAGAUGAGUCAUGGAAAAAUUGAAAGGACAAGUGAAUCAGAAAUUGCUACAGUAAGUCAGCCUCACACUCUGCUUUUGAGGUACAGUGAGGAUCUGACAGGAUUCAACUGCCCACGCCCAGCCCGAUCUCUUACUAAUCAAUCCUUUGCCUCCUGAGGGCCCCUGUUCUCACUUUAAAGCAAGCAACGCCAGACUGCUGUGAUUAUUUGAGGGUAAUGGGAAGGGUUCGGCUUUUCCUGCUGCCUAGAGUUUUUGUUCUCAAAGUCUAAAGAUCACAGGAAAAAUUAAAGACCACGGUGAGGAAGCAGGAGCCAAAAAUACCUGUACCCAGCCAUGUUCUCCUUUUUUAUUCACUCCAGGACUUAGCCCAUGGGACAGUACCAGCCACAUCGAACCUCAGUCCAUCUAACCUAUAUGACCCCUCACAGACCUGCCCAGAGUUUGUUUCCAUGGUGAUUCAUCUGUGUUUCCUGUUUGCUUUUUAACACAUAGAUUCUAUACGUUUUAUCA